rnacentral:lncRNA from 1 species
GCCUCUUUGAUAUAGUUUCAUAAGCUUUGACAGAUGCAUGGUGUCCUACAACUAUCACAACGAUCGGGAUGCAGAAAAUCUUCACCUUUGAAGGUUCCUUUUGUGCUAGUCUUUUACAGUCAGCUUCUCCCUCACAUCUAGUUCAUAUAUGUCUGUGCAUAUAUGUACAUAUGAAUAUGUAACUAUAGAUACCUAUGAAUAGGACUCUCUUCUUUACCAAAAAUGAAUUUAAAGAAAAUGAGAGGUGGGUAACAGGAAGACAGUUAAGGAAGAUGCACCCCUUGACAUUUGGGAAUAUAUUCUUUUCAAAAGCUCAUUUGCAAUUAUAGCUCUGCUUGACUUGAAGUCACACAAGCCCACUCAGAGAGGGGGACAUGUGCUGUCCCUCCCCCCACAUUCAUCUGUCAUUCCUCUGCAGGUUACAAGAAUAGGAAGUCCUCUCCCAGAAUACUCCGUAUGACAGAUGGCAGAAUUACACCAGGAGAGACCCAGAAGAGGAACUCAAGCAAGGACGCCACAGGCACUUAAGAGACCCAGUAUACAGGGCAGUCUGUAUCUGAGGAAUCUGAGAAUGCUGGGGAGGGCAGAGCCACUCAGCGGAAGGAGCCUGGAUCCCUGCUUCAGUGUCGAGCAGAACCUGCGUUCCCAAGCCACUAAGCCACAUUGGAUCAAUAGGUAAGCAAGAAAUAAGAUCUAUGAAUCACUGAGCUUCAACUUCUGGGGUUGUUUGAAACCUCACAUUUUAUUUUCUAAUCAAAACAAAC